rnacentral:lncRNA from 1 species
CUUCUUCUCCUCCUUUUGUUGCUCCCUCUAGCCCUAUCUGACUUGAGCAUUUGUAAGGCUUCCAGCUAAAUUAGUUUCGAUGACUUCAAAUUUUUUCUUUCCUAUGUGUGGGGCAGUAGAUGCGGUUUAUAUUUUUUUUCUUUUCAUCCAUCAAAUCAGAUUUUAGUGGCAAUACUAAUUAUUUAGGUCCCAAUGAAAU